AGGGGUAUAGUUUAAUGGUAAAGCAGCGGUCUUCAAAAUCGCCUAUGUGGGUUCAAAUCCUGCUACCCUUG
rnacentral:tRNA from 1 species